GCCGCCUUAGCUCAGGGGUAGAGCAACGCACUCGUAAUGCGUAGGUCUCGGGUUCAAUUCCCGAAGGCGGCU
rnacentral:tRNA from 1 species